rnacentral:rRNA from 1 species
AGGUAAGCUACUAAGAGCGAAUGGUGGAUGCCUUGACUGGUAAAGGCGAUGAAGGACGUACUAGACUGCGAUAAGCUACGGGGAGCUGUCAAGAAGCUUUGAUCCGUAGAUUUCCGAAUGGGGCAACCCAAUGUAUAGAGAUAUACAUUACCUAUAUAGGAGCGAACGAGGGGAAUUGAAACAUCUUAGUACCCUCAGGAAAAGAAAUCAAUAGAGAUUGCGUCAGUAGCGGCGAGCGAAAGCGCAAGAGGGCAAACCCAGUGCUUGCACUGGGGGUUGUAGGACUGCAAUGUGCAAGAGCUGAGUUUAGCAGAACAUUCUGGAAAGUAUAGCCAUAGAGGGUGAUAGUCCCGUAUGCGAAAAACAAAGCUUAGCUAGCAGUAUCCUGAGUAGGGCGGGACACGAGGAAUCCUGUCUGAAUCCGGGUCGACCACGAUCCAACCCUAAAUACUAAUACCAGAUCGAUAGUGCACAAGUACCGUGAGGGAAAGGUGAAAAGAACUGAGGUGAUCAGAGUGAAAUAGAACCUGAAACCAUUUGCUUACAAUCAUUCAGAGCACUAUGUAGCAAUACAGUGUGAUGGACUGCCUUUUGCAUAAUGAGCCUGCGAGUUGUGGUGUCUGGCAAGGUUAAGCAAACGCGAAGCCGUAGCGAAAGCGAGUCUGAAUAGGGCGCUUAGUCAGAUGCUGCAGACCCGAAACGAAGUGAUCUAUCCAUGAGCAAGUUGAAGCUAGUGUAAGAACUAGUGGAGGACUGAACCCAUAGGCGUUGAAAAGCCCCGGGAUGACUUGUGGAUAGGGGUGAAAGGCCAAUCAAACUUCGUGAUAGCUGGUUCUCUCCGAAAUAUAUUUAGGUAUAGCGUUGUGUCGUAAUAUAAGGGGGUAGAGCACUGAAUGGGCUAGGGCAUACACCAAUGUACCAAACCCUAUCAAACUCCGAAUACCUUAUAUGUAAUCACAGCAGUCAGGCGGCGAGUGAUAAAAUCCGUCGUCAAGAGGGAAACAACCCAGACUACCAGCUAAGGUCCCUAAAUCUUACUUAAGUGGAAAACGAUGUGAAGUUACUUAAACAACCAGGAGGUUGGCUUAGAAGCAGCCAUCCUUUAAAGAAAGCGUAAUAGCUCACUGGUCUAGUGAUUUUGCGCGGAAAAUAUAACGGGGCUAAAGUAAGUACCGAAGCUGUAGACUUAGUUUACUAAGUGGUAGGAGAGCGUUCUAUUUGCGUCGAAGGUAUACCGGUAAGGAGUGCUGGAGCGAAUAGAAGUGAGCAUGCAGGCAUGAGUAGCGAUAAUUAAUGUGAGAAUCAUUAACGCCGUAAACCCAAGGUUUCCUACGCGAUGCUCG